UACCGCAUCGCGUCUGAUCUGCGCAGUUAACCAGAGUGCCGCCUAGUUAGUACCACGGUGGGGGACCACGCGGGAAUCCUGGGUGCUGUGGUUUUUGC
rnacentral:rRNA from 1 species